AAAUGAUGCGACCAGCGCGACGCGUACCUCAGCAACAGCAACUCCGCCCGCUCCUGCCAACACACACAUCACAGGCUCCUUUACAUAGAUAAAAUGCUUCUGGCCCUUUUGCCGAGUGAUGCUGUCGGUGCGUUCUUGAUUCUUUGGAGUAAUGCGACGAUCCACGACAAUUUGCUGAUUUUAGAGUAUAUAAUAGAGCAUUUUCAUAAACAUUAAUUAAGUAAGUUUAAAAAUACAGACAUAAAUUAAUCAUUCGCGCGCCUACGGAUAGUACAAGGUGGAAAUGUAAAUAUGACGACGGGCUCGGUAUUCUCCAGCGUAAAGUCUAUAACGUAAAUACAUAUUGACAUUUGCAUGGUAAGCACGCAAAUGACUUAUUUACAAUUGCAGAUAAAAAAGCUUUAAAAAUAACUCGGAUAAUGUGUCUCAAAUGCGCUAUUAUAUACGCAGUCAAGGGCAGAGGAACUAGUUAAAUAAUAAAGUAUCGUGGCAUCAUUGUAGAGAAAUAGAAACUCUUUAUUUUCUUGAUUUCCUAGCCUAAUUAGUUAAAGAUUUUAAAACUACAGGAAUUUUUCCGCGACUUUCCUUGCUGACUUCGUCAGCGGAGAAAGUCCACGUUUCUCGACAUAUGCAGCACUCGAUACAGUUCAACGUACCGUUAAGCUUUUACUAAAUAGUUUCUCGUCAACGUCAUUUAAAAUUACAAUAAAGAUAUUCCAUAACAACACAUUUAAAGUCUCUUUUGGACAAAGAGACCUUCAUAUACAUCGCACAAAAUUCGUGUGUAACAAGUAUUUAUAAUAUAAUGCUCUUUGAAAAUUUCA